rnacentral:rRNA from 1 species
GAUGAACGCUGGCGGCGUGCCUAAUACAUGCAAGUCGAGCGAACAGAUGAGGAUCUUGCUCCUCUGACGUUAGCGGCGGACGGGUGAGUAACACGUGGAUAACCUACCUAUAAGACUGGGAUAACUUCGGGAAACCGGAGCUAAUACCGGAUAAUAUAUUGAACCGCAUGGUUCAAUAGUGAAAGACGGUUUUGCUGUCACUUAUAGAUGGAUCCGCGCCGCAUUAGCUAGUUGGUAAGGUAACGGCUUACCAAGGCAACGAUGCGUAGCCGACCUGAGAGGGUGUACGGCCACACUGGAACUGAGACACGGUCCAGACUCCGACGGGAGGCAGCAGUAGGGAAUCGUCCGAAAUGGGCGAAAGCCUGCCGGAGCAACGCCGCGUGAGUGAUGAAGGUCUUCGGAUCGUAAAACUCUGUUAUUAGGGAAGAACAAAUGUGUAAGUAACUAUGCACGUCUUGACGGUACCUAAUCAGAAAGCCACGGCUAACUACGUG